GGUUGUGUAGUGUAGUGGUUAUCACUCUGGAUUUUGAUGAGGAAAUCCAAUUUCGAGUCAUUCUCUUCCAGUAACCCCGGUUCGAACCCGGGCACGACCU